rnacentral:rRNA from 1 species
UGGGGAAUAUUGCACAAUGGGCGCAAGCCUGAUGCAGCCAUGCCGCGUGUGUGAAGAAGGCCUUCGGGUUGUAAAGCACUUUCAGCGGGGAGGAAGGCGAUAAGGUUAAUAACCUUGUCGAUUGACGUUACCCGCAGAAGAAGCACCGGCUAACUCCGUGCCAGCAGCCGCGGUAAUACGGAGGGUGCAAGCGUUAAUCGGAAUUACUGGGCGUAAAGCGCACGCAGGCGGUCUGUCAAGUCGGAUGUGAAAUCCCCGGGCUCAACCUGGGAACUGCAUUCGAAACUGGCAGGCUAGAGUCUUGGAGAGGGGGGUAGAAUUCCAGGUGUAGCGGUGAAAUGCGUAGAGAUCUGGAGGAAUACCGGUGGCGAAGGCGGCCCCCUGGACAAAGACUGACGCUCAGGUGCGAAAGCGUGGGGAGCAAACAGG